GAUGAACGCUGGCGGCGUGCCUAAUACAUGCAAGUCGAGCGAACAGACGAGGAGCUUGCUCCUCUGACGUUAGCGGCGGACGGGUGAGUAACACGUGGAUAACCUACCUAUAAGACUGGGAUAACUUCGGGAAACCGGAGCUAAUACCGGAUAAUAUAUUGAACCGUAUGGUUCAAUAGUGAAAGACGGUUCUGCUGUCACUUAUAGAUGGAACCGCGCCGCAUUAGCUAGUUGGUAAGGUAACGGCUUACCAAGGCAACGAUGCGUAGCCGACCUGAGAGGAUGAUCGGCCACACUGGAACUGAGACACGGUCCAGACUCCUACGGGAGGCAGCAGUAGGGAAUCUUCCGCAAUGGGCGAAAGCCUGACGGAGCAACGCCGCGUGAGUGAUGAAGGUCUUCGGAUCGUAAAACUCUGUUAUUAGGGAAGAACAACUGUGUAAGUAACUAUGCACGUCUUGACGGUACCUAAUCAGAAAGCCACGGCUAACUACGUG
rnacentral:rRNA from 1 species